UCGGAUUGCAGUCUGAAACUCGAGUGCAUGAAGCUGGAAUCGCUAGUAAUCGCAAAUCAGGAUGUUGCGGUGAAUACGUUCCCGGGUCUUGUACGCACCGCCCGUCACACCAUGGGAGUUGGAAAUGCCCGAAGUCAGUGACCCAACCAAAAGGAGGGAGCUGCCGAAGGCAGGUUCGAUGACUGGGGUGAAGUCGUAACAAGGUACC
rnacentral:rRNA from 1 species